rnacentral:rRNA from 1 species
UACAGGGGGGGGCAAGCGUUGUUCGGAAUUACUGGGCGUAAAGGGCUCGUAGGUGGCCAACUAAGUCAGACGUGAAAUCCCUCAGCUUAACCGGGGAACUGCGUCUGAUACUGGAUGGCUCGAGUUUGGGAGAGGGAUGCGGAAUUCCAGGUGUAGCGGUGAAAUGCGUAGAUAUCUGGAGGAACACCGGUGGCGAAGGCGGCAUCCUGGACCGACAUUGACGCUGAGGCGCGAAAGCCAGGGGAGCAAACGGG